rnacentral:lncRNA from 1 species
GGAAGAAGGGGGGAGGGCUGUAUCUUUGCAAACGUAGCUAAGGACGGGACUUCCGGCUCUAGUUCUGAGCUUAAUCUUGCCGGUUGCAGGGUUGGCUUAUCUCGGGAACAUUAGGGCCCGGGUGGCCUGGCAAAGAUUUCUGGGAUUUCUGGGGCCCUGCAGCAGCUGUCUCCAGAGCAGUGGCCCUCCUCCCUUGCAGCUGUGUGCAUGGGAUAGAGGGGAUUUGGUGGGGAGCAGAAAGGAGGAAGGCCAGAAUUGGUAUGGUUGAAGUCCCCAAAUCUCCACUUGACUCUGGGCUGCGGGAUGGAGAGCCCGAGACUUCAUGUAUUCCAGUGUGGGAACUCAUCCACCAGUGCAAAUCAUCUUCUUGGGAUCAGAGACUUUCAGGUGGAAGGGCCCUCAGAGGCUCAUUUUGUGGAUGAGAUGAAGCUAAAGAGAGACAGGCGAUGCUGGAACUGAGCUCCUCAGAUUCCAAAGCCACUGCCCAGCUUACAGGCUUGGAGAGAUGCCCAAGGACCCUAGUGAAAUCAAAUCAACACUAGUAGGCUAAGUGUGCCAGGCCCUGAGAAUACAAAGAAAGGCAAAAGCCACAUCUCUGCCCUCCGGGAGUUUACAUUCUAAUAGGGGAGAAAACAGGCCAACAACUAGAUAAGGUAUGGACAGUAUAAGUGACCUGGCUAAGGUCAUAUGGCCAGGAUAUGUCCGAGACAGGCUUUGAACUCCGAUCACAAUGCAGCACUGACUCCUAACAGGCUUCCUGGAGCUCAGAGGACAGGACAAGUGCAGACUUUCUGAACUGUUGCUUGGAAAAGAGAGUAUUUGCCAUUUUGGUAUCUGGGCUGGUUUGUUUAAGGAUUGUCUCAACAAUAAUACCUUUUUUUUUUUAAAGUUCUGCAACUGUCUUCAUUUUUUCUUGUAAGAGCAGAACAGACUCCUGGCAACGCAGAGUAAUUGAAUCAGACCAGUUGGUUGUAAACAUGUCCACAAUGCCCUCGAAGGGCUCCACCUUCAGUUGCUGGUUUGGCCAUGAAAGGUUGCCUAUCUUUUUCAGCUGUCACUCUGAAAACCAUUCCAUAAAACUAAAACGCAUUCCAGGCACUUAGGCCCUCCCCCUUUUAAAUCUUGCUGUAAUGAAGGCUGUAAACCCAAUCCCUACCCCUACCUGGAUUCCUUAUAGUGCAGAAAAUGCCAAGAAGAUUGAGGUUAGUCCUAAGGCCCUUUCUCCUGGAGUGUGACAAAGUGUUAAUACUGUGAGUUAAUCUCAUUCUAUUUCUAUGGGAUGCAGUCCAAAACCAUUCGUUAAUUAGAGCACCAAAAAAGGGAGA